AUUGAACGCUGGCGGCAUGCCUUACACAUGCAAGUCGAACGGUAACAGGUUAAGCUGCCGAGUGGCGAACGGGUGAGUAAUGUAUCGGAACGUGCCCAGUCGUGUGGGAUAACUGCUCGAAAGAGCAGCUAAUACCGCAUACGACCUGAGGGUGAAAGCGGGGGAUCGCAAGUCCUCGCGCGAUGGGAGCGGCCGAUAUCAGAUUAGGUAGUUGGUGAGGUAAAGGCUCACCAAGCCGACGAUCUGUAGCUGGUCUGAGAGGACGACCAGCCACACUGGGACUGAGACACGGCCCAGACUCCUACGGGAGGCAGCAGUGGGGAAUUUUGGACAAUGGGCGCAAGCCUGAUCCAGCAAUGCCGCGUGAGGGAAGAAGGCCUUCGGGUUGUAAACCGCUUUUGUCAGGGAAGAAAAGGUUCUGGCUAAUACCUGGGAGUCAUGACGGUACCUGAAGAAUAAGCACCGGCUAACUACGUG
rnacentral:rRNA from 1 species